rnacentral:tRNA from 1 species
AGCUCAAAAGGUAGAGCUUGGUGCUGAUAAUGCCAAGGUCACGGGUUCAUUCCCCGU